UCUUGCAGCAGCACUGCUCAAGAGCCCUUUGUGUCGUUGGGUAAAAAUGCAGUCUGCAGACCAAACCCAAGCAGAGAACAUGCUUCCGCAGCCUUUGCUAGCGCAGUGCCCAGCAGUUACCCGCUGGGGCACCUCGGAGGCUGCAGCUCCCGCAGCGCUGAGUCGCCGCCCCAGAGCGGGAGCGCUGGGAAGCGCAAUCCCAGCAGCGAGUGCCGGAGCAGAUGCCCACGGACGCGGCAGCUCUGGUGACUCCAGAGGAGCUGCGUGUGCUGCAGCAGCCUGAGGAGGCAGUUCAGCAUACACACGUGCUUGAGAGAUAUUUCCGUAUCCUGAAAUAACAGGAGGCUUGUGAUGCAUCACUUCAUGACUCUGCAGUGCUCUGCGACUCACAGGAUGGAGAACAGAUGUCACCAAAUCAUUGUACACUGACCCAGUCACUGCACAACGAUCCUUCAUUGAAAGCCAAUACAACUGAACUGCGACUUUUUAAGGAAGGAUCCUGGCCCGUAAGAAGAACUGCUUACCUGCUGAAGCGUAACAUCACGCUAGCAAUCCUUCUCUCUGGCAACACUAAUCCUGCUCUGUCUUGCCUGGGCUGCAUGCUGCAGCAGGAGCUAGACAACUGAGCUGUAUGCUGAAAAACCUUGGGAUGUUGAUGUACAGAAUGGUGGGUGGUGUUAUUUAGAUGUAUGGGUAAACAAACAAAUACAGCUGAUUGAAGCUGGAUGGCCAUAGAGGCUCCAGCCUCCCUCCGCACACCCCACCCUUCUCUUGGCAGUUACAGGCUACUCAAAAGGCCAGGCUGGGAAUGGGUGUCUCAGGUGCUGCUUCACACAUCGUUCAGCUCUUGCUGACAGAGACGUAGCAAAUCCGAAGGAAGGCUGCAUCACUUUAGCGUGAUAUUCUCGUUAUUUGGUGGGAUGUUUCAGUCCAGCCAUCAGCAAAUGCCAUUCCUCCUACCCUGCAGCUCUGACUGCCAGCUCAGAGAACUUGAUUGCUUACGAACACAGAGGGGCUGGCACACAAAAAUGCUCCUACUUCACCAAUCAACACAUCUUACCUCAUAUAUUUCAGGCCCACAAGAUACGUAAUUAAACUUGAAGGUUUCUUGAAGACUGUGCAGCCAUCUAGUGUUAUUGCAUAUAUAGCAUGCUGGUUACCCGCAGGGACCCCAGAUCACUUCAGUGCUUUCUUCCUUCAUGACUCCCAGCUGGAUAUUUAACUCUAAGUUAGAGGAGAUUUAGUUAAAAUGCCAAUCCACUGAUCUUGAUGAUCUUUGAAAUUUCUGACCACCUGAAGAUUGUGCUUGUGGAUGGCGGAGAGGACCCUGCCGCUGUAUUUCUUUUAGCCAUAGCAAGUAUGGGUUGGUGCUCUCGGGAAGAGCAACCAGGGUGCCUGUGGCUGCUACUGCUGUGCUUUAGCAGUCAUUGAUUCUUAAGCAAAAAAAAAAAAAAAAGGAAAAAAGAAAAAACCUAAAUUUAAAUUUGAAGAUCAGUGAGCAAACUUCAGGGAUUCCACUGCUAUCUGCCACAGCUUUUUGGAGACUUUCUCAUUUGCUUAGGAAUAGGAAAGCCUUGUACAUAUAUUGUGGGUGAGUAAGAUGAGGGCAAAACAGCCUGAAUCUGUCUCACUUUUCUCAUCUAGAGAAAACCAUCUAAUUUCAAAGUUCCAGAUUCCUUUUUGGUCAUUCAGCACACAGGGGUAUUAGUACAAGGAACUAUAGUUUGUAGUAAAUUAGUUAGGCAACCGGUGCAGGCAAGGAGCAUGAUGAAACGACAUGCAUUCUUGUAUUGCAUACCAGAGUGACAAGUAAAUCUCAAAGGUGACAACCCAGGGCUACUGCGAUUUAGCAGCAGCCACUUGGCCAACCUGAGAACAGAACCGUCUUUGUUUACAAUCUGCAUUUUUCUAACUCUUAUCUGCUCUUUUGCACCGUAAUUUCCCCCAGCCCCCCCUGUGCCACUAGGUUCAUCUUUCUCCACGCCUCGCAUUACACUGUUAAGUGUCCAGGUGUGUUAUGAGGGACUUUCAUCUUCUGAAACAAAAGGUGACGAACUGGUAACUUUCUGCACUGCAGUAACAAGUCACUGACUGCGGAGGUAAAAGAAAUUGCCACUGGAUACUAGCGACAUGUUACAACCUCUUUGCCUGGGCUAAGCAGUGAAUGGAGAUUUAUGCCAUGGAGACACAUCAUUUUCUGGAUCCUGUUACACUUAUGGAAGGUGUUACAUUUAACAUCCUUUGCUGGUGGAAACAGCCCUGUUCCCAACCCCUAAGAAUCUACCCCAUGAAAAAUUUACAUAAACAUUGCCUUAUUCCCCUCGUUACCUCAGACCAUUAAUAUCAAAUACUGAAGUCUCAGUCUUGAGAGCAGUUGGAGAGGAGCAGUGACAAGCAGCACUUACUCAUUCCACAGUAACAGCUGGAUCUGGAGGAGGCUGGUUGUUGGCACCCUACUCACAUAUGCUAAGCCAGGAUAAGUGCCGUUGUCUGCAAGCGUGGACAUGAAUCUUUUGCACACUCCCCUUCUAAGUGUCUGCCUGUCUGUGGGAUGUUAAAAACAGACUAUGGUAUGUGCCCAGCAGGCUCCAGCCACAACUGACUGAUCUGGUAGCAUUUACCUAGAAGAGUUUUUUAAAAGGCAUGUUUCACAGAGUCUUUCACUGCAUCAAAUAUUGUGGGUAUUGGAUCUCUGAAUGUCACCAAAGAGAUGGCUAAUGAUUUACCAUUCUGUCAUUUACUUCUGAUGACUUUUACCAAUAAACGGGGAAACUAAUAUUCCAGCCCUAAAUCACAUCUAGUCGAACACAGAAACAUGCUGUACACAAAGGGAAAUACUCCCCUAGAAGGUACCAGAGCUGCUCUCCUGUCCCAGGGCAUCGCAGGCGGUCCUGGGCCGGCGGUUGACGCAGCCACAGCAGCGGUGGUGGGAGGGAGGGUCUCUCCCUGCAAAAAUCCAUGGCAAUCGUGAUGCUGAGCGGUCCCCAGGGAACCACAACUCCACGACCCACCAGCAAACCCCCUCCUACCCCAACCAGCUUACAGACAAGGUGAUGGGCAGAGCAGGAAAUGGCUGAACCAAAAAUGCCUGAUUUAAUGAUCAUCUGAGGUAAGGUGGUGCAUGUCCCACUGUCUCACAAUUCUAAAAAUGGUUUUAAUGAUAUUACAAAAUAACAAGUAUGGCUACGGAGGGAGGUGGAACAUUUGUAUGCUGUUACGUGUUUUAGUGAGUGGCUUAUUUUCUUUGGAUAAGAGGUAUAAAUUCUGCUCCUUAUAACUUCUGGGCAGGACAGAUCUUAUGGUGUUUUUAAAAGAAGAUAUUAACAGUUAUAUAUCCUAGCGAAAAUCUUUGCAAUUUUGUUUUCCCAAGUGCUUCUAAAGUUCUAGUUACACCUUCGUCCCUGCUUCCUGCCUGCAACUGGUGUUGGGAGCCACUUAAGCCACCACCAUAUUCCAUCUUGGAUGCAUUUCAGUUGUC